rnacentral:rRNA from 1 species
GAGGGGCCCGCGUCGGAUUAGCUAGUUGGUGGGGUAACGGCCUACCAAGGCUAUGAUCCGUAGCUGGUCUGAGAGGAUGAUCAGCCACACUGGGACUGAGACACGGCCCAGACUCCUACGGGAGGCAGCAGUGGGGAAUAUUGGACAAUGGGCGAAAGCCUGAUCCAGCAAUGCCGCGUGAGUGAGGAAGGCCUUAGGGUUGUAAAGCUCUUUCGGCGGGGACGAUGAUGACGGUACCCGCAGAAGAAGCCCCGGCUAACUUCGUGCCAGCAGCCGCGGUAAUACGAAGGGGGCGAGCGUUGUUCGGAUUUACUGGGCGUAAAGGGCGCGCAGGCGGUCCUGUUUGUCGAGUGUGAAAGCCCCGGGCUCAACCUGGGAACUGCGCUCGAAACGGCGGGACUAGAGUUCGGGAGAGGAGAGUGGAAUUCCCAGUGUAGAGGUGAAAUUCGUAGAUAUUGGGAAG